rnacentral:lncRNA from 1 species
UCCCACCCACUUCCUUUCUCUUGGUAAUAGAUAAGAUAAUCAACUUCAAAGUCUUUAAGUUACUGUUGUUACAUACGUAUUCCUAUAUAAUUAUGAAAGUAUAAUAACUUCAUUUAAUUAUAAAUUCACUCUAUUUCAUUGCGAUUAAUCGUGUUGACGAUUACCUGAACCAUUUCUAUAAUCGAAAGUUUACCGUUUUAUUUAAAUUUUUAAAUUUAAUAAGAUAUUUAUAAAAAAAAAAAAAAUCAUCUCAUAACUGAACUAGAAAACUUGCUAUAAUGCUUAAGCAUGCUAUGAAUUUAAACUUUAAUGGAAAGCAAUUAUAUGAAUAAAUAAUUUUAUUUAUAUAAUUAUAAGGGAAAUAAAUCACAAUAAUCAAUAAUUCACAUAAAGUUAAAAUACAUUUUAAACAAACGACAAAGACCAAAUCCAAACUAAUAACAAAUUCCAAACCAAACUUGAAAUUACUAAAAAUUGAAAAAUCAAGAUAGGAUAAUGAGUAAUAAAGCAAAGAAAAUAUGCCAACAACAAAUUCUAUCUACAAGAUUUCACUCUUCCAUCAAAAGAUUGCACAUCUGGAUUUUGCCUAAAUCCAAUAAAAACAGAAAAAUAUACUCUUAAUUAAUCCACACAAUACAAAACAUUAAAAUUAAGAAUUUAAUUAAUCAAAAUCUUUAAAAAGAUGAGCCAAAUAAAUCUGUAUCUAAAUAAACAUAACUGCAUCAAUCAAUCAUAUUUCACAAUAUAAAAUAUUAAUCUAAUGCACAAUAUAAAAGCCAAUCUUAAAGAUGGAAGACUUUGCAUGGCUAGCGAUCUGCAGCAUGCAUAGACAAUGGAGAUUCAAUCAGUUGAAAAGAAGAAGAAAAUGAGAAGAUGAGGAUUGGUAAUUUUAAGUAAAGAAUUGAGGAUUUUGUUUGGUACGACAGGGAGAGAGAGAGAGAGUAGCUGAAUACAAUAGUAGAGAUGAAUCUACUAUAUUUUGUUAAAAUAAAAUAAAAUAAAAUAAAAAGAGCAAGAAGUUGGAAGCUGCGUUGGGAUU